rnacentral:rRNA from 1 species
UACGUAGGGUGCGAGCGUUGUCCGGAAUUAUUGGGCGUAAAGGGCUCGUAGGCGGUUUGUCGCGUCGGGAGUGAAAACUCAGGGCUUAACCCUGAGCCUGCUUCCGAUACGGGCAGACUAGAAGUAUGCAGGGGAGAACGGAAUUCCUGGUGUAGCGGUGAAAUGCGCAGAUAUCAGGAGGAACACCGGUGGCGAAGGCGGUUCUCUGGGCAUUACCUGACGCUGAGGAGCGAAAGUGUGGGGAGCGAACAGG